rnacentral:tRNA from 1 species
GGAGAGGUGACAGAGCGGCCGAUCGUGCAGCACUGGAAAUGCUGUGUACCUUCCCGGUACCAUGGGUUCGAAUCCCAUCCUCUCCGCCA